AGAUAACUGACGUGUAUCUGCCACCUAAAAGAAGGAGAAUGGGGUAGGAGGCUGCGACUUCAACGGGAAGGAGAAUGAUUCACAGGAAGAUAACUCGGCUCAUAUCUCUAUUCCUGGAACAAGCCCCUUAUCUCGAUUCUGAUUCUCCGCAGCAGCAGCUUCGGGUGGCAGUGGCGGAGGAGGAGAGAUAACGUGGUUAUCUACAAUGGACUACAAUGGACUAGCCCUUGGCAAUAAAGGGGAGCCACAGAUACCAAGGCAACGUCAUCAAUGAACCUCACAGUGGAGUGGAAGAGCCAGACAGAAGUGAGGCCAGGCUGCGAUCAUCCCUUUUAUAUAAAGUCCAAGAUCAGGUUCUUUGCGUCUUCGUGGGAUGAAGAUCGGACAUGUUUCCUCCUGAGAUCGUAGAAAGAUCAUUCCGGUUUUUCCAUGACCUGCCCUUCUCCACUGCCCGAGUACUUUGGGUCCCAGGCAACGUGACAUGCCUCGUGCCCCGCAUCUUUGUACCCGGACCCAGCUUCUGCAAAUGUCACAAACACCUACAACCAUGCAAACCUGCUGCCCGCGCCGUGAAGAGGGGCCGGAGGUCCAAGCUUCUCAGCGAACCCCGCUCUGGCGGCAGUUCCUACACCAGCCAGGAAGAGGGAUGAGGGACAGGCUGGCAGCCAGAGGUGUUUGCCAGGUGAGAUGAAACGUGGUGUGGCCCUGACCCCUGUCCUCCCUCCACCACCCCUCCUUCAUCCUUCCUUCCUUCCCUACCCGUGCUUUCAGGGAACAAAGUCCCUCUGGGUUCACUAUACACACAACACAGGGAAGGAAGCAGUGUUUCCUGACACGCUUGCUGACUGCUCUGCCUGGCAAAGGGGCCGGGGAUUUUACACCCCUGGUCAAGCACCUGGCAGCCCUCGCUGGGCUGAGUAAUUGAUGAAUCCAAGAACCAGAGACGUACCCAGGACCACACACCUAAUGAGCAGAACCAGGAGGAAAAAUCAGGUCCGCUUGACUCUAGGUCUGUGUGUUCCCCACACGCGAAAGCACGCCCCCCUUUUGAUGUGAAUUAAAGACAUCCUCUGAGCCACCAGCAACCACCUACUCACCUGCUGAGCUGAUACCAUGGGGGCUGAUCCAGCUAGUUUGUAUUCUGGUUAUCAAUUGCUGCAUAAAAUUACUGUCAAACUUAGUAGCUUAAAGCAAUGAUGAUAUUUCUCUGGCUCACAAAUCUGAACUUGGCAGGGUGGGGUGGGGAGAGCUCCUCUCUGCCCAAGGGAACGGGGAGCCAGGUGGCAGUUGCAUCCCUUUUAUAACCCAGACUCAGAAUUCCUGCGGUGCCCUCUCCACCGCAUUCUAUUUGUCGAGGCAAUCCCAAAAGCAAAGAGACCUCUUUUUUUUUUUUUUUGGACAGGCUCACAGCAUGUGGAAGUUCUGGGGCCAGCGACUGAACUGGCACCAUAGCAGUGACAACCCGCUGAGCCGAAAGUACAGUGUUUAUUGCAGGGCACGAAGCAAGGAGUCCAGGUAGUUCUAGAUUAAAAAACCCCGACUCCCUGAUGCCUUUCAGAAAAGGGUGCUUGUUUGUUUUGUCUUUUUAGGCCCGCACCUGAGGCAAAUAGAAGUUCCCAGGCUAGGGGUCGAAUUGGAGCUGCAGCUGCCGGCUUACACCACAGCCACAGCCACUCAAAUCCAAGCCGCAUCUGAGACCUACACCAGAGUUUACACAAUGCUGGAAUCUUUUAACCCACUGAGCGAGGCCAGGAAUUGAAACCAAGUCCUCAUGGAUUCUAGUUGGGUUUGUUCCCGCUGAGCCACAAGGGGAACUCCACUAAUGCCUUAAAUUUUGAUGGCAUCUCUUGCUGAGGAUGAGAGUUUGUUCAAAAGUGGGGAACAGUUAAAGGGAAAACCACAGACUCAAAUUGGCUUCACUUUUGCUAAAGCCCAUGACACCAAGGCUAGAUGGGAUAUCUGACCUACCUGUAGUCUCAACCUGCCCCAGGGAUGCAGUCUUCAUCGGCCAGUCUGGAGUUUUCUGGUCAGCACCCAGGAGGUAAUCUCUGGGCCCUCUCCAUCUCCUGGAGAAGAAGAAGCCAUCUGCAUGGGAGACGCUUGGCCUUCCUCCAAAAGAAGAUGACCUGGCCUGAAGCAAGCCAGUCUUUGCUUCUCCUAAUAGCCUCCUUGCCCCACCCUCCUUCUGCCAAAAAUAAACCUUCCAUUUGUUUUUUUUAAACAAUCCAUUGGUUUCUUUCCAUUUACAAUACAGGGUGUUGCCUGAUUCAUGAGUCCCUGAAUAAAGUCCAU